rnacentral:tRNA from 1 species
GGAGGACUGGCCGAGCGGCUGAAGGCGGCACCCUGCUAAGGUGUUAUGUGGGUCUACCCUGCAUCGAGAGUUCGAAUCUCUCGUCCUCCG